CUUCGAGUCCGGCAAUUGGAAUGAGUACAAUUUAAACCCCUUAACGAGGAUCAAUUAGAGGGCAAGUCUGGUGCCAGCAGCCGCGGUAAUUCCAGCUCUAAUAGCGUAUAUUAAAGUUGUUGCGGUUAAAAAGCUCGUAGUUGGAUUUUGGUGCCUCUCUGGGCGGGCGUCAAAAGGCGCUCCGUGCCGGGGGGGCUCUUCUGUCUGGAGACCGCCGGCAUCCUCUUCACUGAGGUGUCGGCGGGAUCUAGGACUUUUACUUUGAACAAAUUAGAGUGCUCAAAGCAGGCAUCCGCCUUGAAUAUGUUAGCAUGGAAUAACCGAAUAGGACUUUGGUUCUAUUUUGUUGGUUUAAGAGCCGAAGUAAUGAUUAAUAGGGACAGUUGGGGGCAUUAAUAUUUAAUUGUCAGAGGUGAAAUUCUUAGAUUUAUGAAAGAUUAACUACUGCGAAAGCAUUUGCCAAGGAUGUUUUCAUUAAUCAAGAACGAAAGUUAGGGGAUCGAAGACGAUCAGAUACCGUCGUAGUCUUAACCAUAAACUAUGCCGACUAGGGAUUGGAAGAUGUUAUUUUCAUGACUCCUUCAGCACCUUAUGAGAAAUCAAAGUCUUUGGGUUCCGGGGGGAGUAAGGUCGCAAGGCUGAAACUUAAAGGAAUUGACGGAAGGGCACCACCAGGAGUGGAGCCUGCGGCUUAAUUUGGCUCAACACGGGAAAACUUACCAGGUCCAGACAUAGCGAGGAUUGACAGAUUGAGAGCUCUUUCUUGAUUCUAUGGGUGGUGGUGCAUGGCCGUUCUUAGUUGGUGGAGUGAUUUGUCUGCUUAAUUGCGAUAACGAACGAGACCUUAACCUGCUAAAUAGUUACGCGAAUCUUAGCAUUCGCGGCCAACUUCUUAGAGGGACUUUUGCGUGUUUUAACCAAAGGAAGUUUGAGGCAAUAACAGGUCUGUGAUGCCCUUAGAUGUUCUGGGCCGCACGCGCGCUACACUGACGGAUUCAGCGAGUUUAUAACCUUGACCGGAAGGUCUGGGUAAUCUUUUAACGUUCGUCGUGAUGGGGCUUGUUCUUUGUAAUUCUAGAACAUCAACGAGGAAUUCCUAGUAAGUGCAAGUCAUCAGCUUGCAUUGAUUACGUCCCUGCCCUUUGUACACACCGCCCGUCGCUCCUACCGAUUGAAUGACCCGGUGAGGCUUUUGGACUGGCCUGUGGCUAGUGGCGACACUACUGCAGGCCGGGAAGACAUCCUAACCUUGCCAUUUAGAGGAAGGAGAAGUCGUAACAAGGU
rnacentral:rRNA from 1 species